CCUGGAAAACGGGUGGUAAUGCCGGAUGCUCCAGUUGGAUGCAUGUCCUUCUGGGAAAGAUUCUAUCGGUAUGGGAUGGGGUCGCGUCCUAUCAGCUUGAUGGCGGGGUAACGGCCCACCAUGGCUUCGACGGGUAGCCGGCCUGAGAGGGCGACCGGCCACAUUGGGACUGAGAUACGGCCCAGACUCCUACGGGAGGCAGCAGUGGGGAAUAUUGCACAAUGGGCGCAAGCCUGAUGCAGCGACGCCGCGUGCGGGAUGACGGCCUUCGGGUUGUAAACCGCUUUUGACUGGGAGCAAGCCCUUCGGGGUGAGUGUACCUUUCGAAUAAGCACCGGCUAACUACGUGCCAGCAGCCGCGGUAAUACGUAGGGUGCAAGCGUUAUCCGGAAUUAUUGGGCGUAAAGGGCUCGUAGGCGGUUCGUCGCGUCCGGUGUGAAAGUCCAUCGCUUAACGGUGGAUCCGCGCCGGGUACGGGCGGGCUUGAGUGCGGUAGGGGAGACUGGAAUUCCCGGUGUAACGGUGGAAUGUGUAGAUAUCGGAAA
rnacentral:rRNA from 1 species